ensembl:snoRNA
CUUGCACCCAAACCCAAGAAUCGCUGUUUCUUGUAACAGUGGUUUAAACAGAGGUGCAAACAACAAGUGGAUCUCGUCGCCUUUGGGGAGCUGUGGCUGUGCCCCUCAAAGUGAAUUUGGAGGUUCUACAUUC